UACGGAGGAUCCAAGCGUUAUCCGGAUUUAUUGGGUUUAAAGGGUGCGUAGGCGGAUUGAUAAGUUAGAGGUGAAAUGUCCGAGCUCAACUCGGGAACUGCCUCUAAUACUGUUGAUCUAGAGAGUAGAUGCGGUAGGCGGAAUGUAUGGUGUAGCGGUGAAAUGCUUAGAGAUCAUACAGAACACCGAUUGCGAAGGCAGCUUACCAAUCUAUAUCUGACGUUGAGGCACGGAAGCGUGGGGAGCAAACAGG
rnacentral:rRNA from 1 species